GAUGAAGAACGUAGCGAAAUGCGAUAAGUAAUGUGAAUUGCAGAAUUCAGUGAAUCAUCGAAUCUUUGAACGCACAUUGCGCCCUCUGGUAUUCCGGGGGGCAUGCCUGUUCGAGCGUCAUUAUAACCACUCAAGCUCUCGCUUGGUAUUGGGGCUCGCGGUUCCGCGGCCCCUAAAAUCAGUGGCGGUGCCUGUCGGCUCUACGCGUAGUAAUACUCCUCGCGAUUGAGUCCGGUAGGUCUACUUGCCAGCAACCCCCAAUUUUUACAGGUUGACCUCGGAUCAGGUAGGAAUACCCGCUGAACUUAAGCAUAUCAAUAAGCGGAGGA
rnacentral:misc_RNA from 1 species